rnacentral:rRNA from 1 species
AUCUACCGUGGGCGCUGGAAAUUUGAGAGGAUCUGCUCCUAGUACGAGAGGACCAGAGUGGACGAACCUCUGGUGUACCGGUUGUGACGCCAGUCGCAUCGCCGGGUAGCUAUGUUCGGAAGGGAUAACCGCUGAAAGCAUCUAAGCGGGAAGCCUACCUCAAGAUAAGAUUUCCCUAGGACUUUAUGUCCUCUAAAGAGCCGUUCGAGACUAGGACGUUGAUAGGUUGGAUGUGGAAGCAUAGUGAUAUGUGAAGCUGACCAAUACUAAUUGCUCGUGAGGCUUGACUAU